GGGGACGUAGCUCAACGGUAGAGCUCACAGAAACUACCAAGCCCUGAGUAGUAGCAGGGUGGACUGCCGAAAGGUGGAACCUGCUUACCCAGUGGCUGGUUUCGAAAUGUGGUAUUGAGCUGGUUCGACUCCAGCCGUCUCCA